UACGAAGGGGCUAGCGUUGCUCGGAAUACUGGGCGUAAAGCGCACGUAGGCGGACUCUUAAGUCGGUGGUGAAAUCCUGGAGCUCAACUCCAGAACUGCCUUCGAUACUGGGAGUCUUGAGUCCGGGAGAGGGUGAGUGGAACUGCGAGUGUAGAGGUGAAAUUCGUAGAUAUUCGCAAGAACACCAGUGGCGAAGGCGGCUCACUGGCCCGGUACUGACGCUGAGGUGCGAAAGCGUGGGGAGCAAAC
rnacentral:rRNA from 1 species